rnacentral:rRNA from 1 species
AUUGAACGCUGGCGGCAGGCCUAACACAUGCAAGUCGAACGGUAACAGGAAACAGCUUGCUGUUUCGCUGACGAGUGGCGGACGGGUGAGUAAUGUCUGGGAAACUGCCUGAUGGAGGGGGAGAACUACUGGAAACGGUAGCUAAUACCGCAUAACGUCACAAGACCAAAGAGGGGGCCCUUCGGGCCACUUGCCAUCGGAUGUGCCCAGCUGGGAUUAGCUAGUAGGUGGGGUAACGGCCCACCUAGGCGACGAUCCCUAGCUGGUCUGAGAGGAUGACCAGCCACACUGGAACUGAGACACGGUCCAGACUCCUACGGGAGGCAGCAGUGGGGAAUAUUGCACAAUGGGCGCAAGCCUGAUGCAGCCAUGUCGCGUGUAUGAAGAAGGCCUUCGGGUUGUAAAGUACUUUCAGCGGGGAGGAAGGGAGUAAAGUUAAUACCUUUGCUCAUUGACGUUACCCGCAGAAGAAGCACCGGCUAACUCCGUGCCAGCCGCCGCCGUAA